rnacentral:lncRNA from 1 species
AUGUCAAACCAAGUCAAUGUAUAUCACAUGUCACAUGGCCACUUUUAUGAAUUAGAUCUUGUGUGUUUAGUUUUGAACACUGCAGAUGUUCAUGGGUGUCCAUUACAGAAUCCAUUGCAACACGGUCACACUUCAACAGUCACACAUCUGGCUCUCACCCUGCCCAGUGCCGUGCCCCGCCCACUACAACAGUCACACAUCUGGAUCUCACCCUGCCCAGUGCCGUGUCCCGCCCACUACAACAGUCACACAUCUGGAUCUCACCCUGCCCAGUGCCUUGCCCACCCACAGGCUCUAAAUAAGGUGCAUUUCAACAGCUUGGCUACACGUCCACAGCAGCUGCCAGCUCCCUGAAGCAGGAGUCAGGCACACUCUCUUGUGCAGCAUGGUCAAGUGCUCUCACCUCUGAGACAGCUGAUCCCUGGCACCAAUCUGAAACCUGGCAUUACCUCAUGACUGCAAUUAAAUCCAUCUGGCUUGGUUAAUUAAAGGAUAGCAGGCAGACAGAGCUAACGUUUCUUUAUUUCUUUCAGCCUUUUCUUUUUACCGUUUUAUACACAUUGCAAGCCUAAAAUCUGUAUUAUGAAAGCAGAGAUGCUCAGGCAGCAUUCAUUCAUUUCAAUAACUUUUUAAAAACUAUUACAAGUCAAAUCGAAUUCCGGACUGGAAUGCGCAUUCCAGUUCCUGGUUUAAAUGCACCAACAAACCCCACAUCCAAUUUAAUGAGCUGGAACCGGACGAGGGGCGUUCCUUCGUGGCAAACAGCUUAAUCAGCAGAUCUCCGGAGCGGUGCCUUGAGACACAUCGGCCUGCAAACCAAACCCACGUUUAGGGCGGCGUCCCCCGAAGCGCGUGCAAAUGGCCGGGACCUCCUGUGGCUCUUCCUCCUCAGCCACCCCGCGUCUCCCCGGCGUGCUGCGAGCCGGCAGAGGUGGUUAAAGAAAGACACGAGCCAGCCAGCCGCCCCGCAGCAGAGGGGCCUGUUGACGGGGGAGUGUGGCCCACCUGCAGGGAAGAGGCUUGAUCGGCCCUGACCGGCGUGUCCAGCUCCGUCGGACAUCAGGAAGAAAACGAAUAAUCUUCACAAAAGUUCUGGAGCUAGAAGUUUAAAGCAGCGAAUACUUUUU